rnacentral:rRNA from 1 species
CCUACGGGGCGCAGCAGUGAGGAAUAUUGGUCAAUGGGCGAGAGCCUGAACCAGCCAAGUCGCGUGAAGGAUGACGGCCCUACGGGUUGUAAACUUCUUUUGUCAGGGAGCAAUUGGGUCCACGCGUGGGCUUAGCGAGAGUACCUGAAGAAAAAGCAUCGGCUAACUCCGUGCCAGCAGCCGCGGUAAUACGGAGGUGGCAAGCGUUAUCCGGAUUUACUGGGUGUAAAGGGCGUGUAGGCGGGGAAGCAAGUCAGAUGUGAAAACCACGGGCUCAACCUGUGGCCUGCAUUUGAAACUGUUUU